rnacentral:rRNA from 1 species
GACCCUAUAGAAUUUUAUAUUUUUAUUUAAAAAGGUAUUAGUAUUUAAAAUUUUUUAAAGAAAAAAUAUUUGGUUGGGGUGAUUGAAAAAUUAAAUAAACUUUUUUUUAAUUGAAACAUCUAUAAAUGAGUAUAUGAUCCUAUUUUUAGAUUAUAAGAUAAAAUUACCUUAGGGAUAACAGCGUAAUAUUUUUUGAGAGUUCUAAUCGAAAAAAAUGCUUGCGACCUCGAUGUUGGAUUAAAAUUAAAAUUUGGUGUAGAAGCUAAAUUAUUAGGUCUGUUCGACCUUUAAAAUUUUACAUGAUCUGA